GACAAACGCUGGCGGCGUGCCUAACACAUGCAAGUCGUACGUCCUCUUGGAGUUCGCUUCAAGAGGGAGUGGCGGACGGGUGAGGAACACGUGGGAACCUGCCCACCGGUGAGGAAUACCGGCGAGAAAUCGCUGACAAGACCGCAUACGCUUCGCAAGAAGCAAAGCUCUCCGCACGGGGAGCGCCUGUGGAGGGGCCUGCGUCCGAUUAGCUAGCUGGUGGGGUAAUGGCUCACCAGGGCGACGAUCGGUAGCUGGUCUGAGAGGAUGAGCAGCC
rnacentral:rRNA from 1 species